rnacentral:lncRNA from 1 species
GAAAAAUCGAAAACUGAAUGUCAGAACAUAAUUAAGAAAAAUUGUGCCACGUAGGAUCACCUAUUAAGAAGCUCCGACAAACUGAAAUGCGUCGCAUAGCAAGGCACGCUGACUCGGUGCCACGCGAGAGGCUACGCUGGCGAUUCGCGUGCCUCGCGAUCAGACAUUCCGGAAGGAUUUUCGCGCGCGUGGACGGUACUGAUCUGUUUCUUCCUCAGGCGCACUCGGAUAGUCGCGAUUAAACGUGAUGAACGGCCUAAAUUUGUUCCCUCUUUAAACGCGAUCGGACGGUCGAGAUCAAAUCGCGAUGAAUGGUCCAAAUUCAUUUCCUCUUUAAAUGCGAUCGAACAGUCAAAAUCAAACGCGAUGAGCGACUCAAAUUUAAGUGAGACAUGUAUAAAUAUUUCGCACCACACCAAACUUAAACCCUAGCCGUUAGCCUUCCUUGGAAAAU